rnacentral:rRNA from 1 species
CAGUGCCGCGGUAAUACGAAGGGUGCAAGCGUUAAUCGGAAUUACUGGGCGUAAAGCGUGCGUAGGCGGUGAGUUAAGUCUGCUGUGAAAUCCCCGGGCUCAACCUGGGAAUGGCAGUGGAUACUGGCUCGCUAGAGUGUGUCAGAGGAUGGUGGAAUUCCCGGUGUAGCGGUGAAAUGCGUAGAGAUCGGGAGGAACAUCAGUGGCGAAGGCGGCCAUCUGGGACAACACUGACGCUGAGGCAUGAAAGCGUGGGGAGCAAACAGGAUUAGAUACCCGCGUAGUCCCUGUCUCUUAUACA